CACGUAGGGCGCAAGCGUUUGUCCGGAAUUAUUGGGCGUAAAGAGCGCGUAGGCGGCCAGAUAAGUCCGGUGUGAAAGUCAAAGGCUCAACCUUUGAAUGCCGCUGGAAACUGUCUGGCUAGAGUCCGGGAGGGGCGAGUGGAAUUCCUGGUGUAGCGGUGAAAUGCGCAGAUAUCAGGAAGAACACCCGUGGCGAAGGCGGCUCUCUGGGACGGUACUGACGCUGAGACGCGAAAAGCGUGGGGGAGCGAACAGG
rnacentral:rRNA from 1 species